rnacentral:rRNA from 1 species
UACGAAGGGGGCUAGCGUUGCUCGGAAUCACUGGGCGUAAAGGGCGCGUAGGCGGCCAUUCAAGUCGGGGGUGAAAGCCUGUGGCUCAACCACAGAAUUGCCUUCGAUACUGUUUGGCUUGAGUAUGGUAGAGGUUGGUGGAACUGCGAGUGUAGAGGUGAAAUUCGUAGAUAUUCGCAAGAACACCGGUGGCGAAGGCGGCCAACUGGACCAUUACUGACGCUGAGGCGCGAAAGCUUGGGUAGCGAACGGG